UACAUAGGAUGCAAGCGUUAUCCGGAGUCACUGGGCGUAAAGGGUUCGCAGCCGGAUCUAUAAGUCUGUUUUCAAAUUCUCUCGCUCAACGAGAGGCCGGGAAUAGAUACUGUAGAUCUAGAGGUUUUUGGAGGGUAAUGGAAUUCCAGGUGGAGCGGUGAAAUGUGUUGAUAUCUGGAAGAAUGCCGAAAGCGAAAGCAGUUACCUACAAUUUACCUGACGGUCAGGAACGAAAGCUUGGGGAGCAAAUGGG
rnacentral:rRNA from 1 species